UGGGUAGUCCGCACGAGCGCACCUUAUCUUUAGUUGCCAUCAGGUUAUGCUGGGCACUCUAAAGAAACUGCCGGUGAUAAGCCGGAGGAAGGCGGGGAUGACGUCAAGUCCUCAUGGCCCUUAUGACCUGGGCUACACACGUGCUACAAUGGCAGUGACAAUGAGCAGCGAUAGCGCGAGCUUCAGCUAACCUCAAAAAUCUGUCUCAGUUCGGAUUGAACUCUGCAACUCGAGUUCAUGAAGUUGGAAUCGCUAGUAAUCGUAGAUCAGCAUGCUACGGUGAAUACGUUCCCGGGCCUUGUACACACCGCCCGUCACACCAUGGAAGUUGGUUUUACCCAAAGACGACGCGCUAACCGCAAGGAGGCAGUCGGCCACGGUAAGGUCAGCGACUGGGGUGAAGUCGUAACAAGGUAGCCGUACCGGAAGGUGUGGCUGGAUCACCUCCUUUCU
rnacentral:rRNA from 1 species